rnacentral:piRNA from 1 species
UAGACAUGGUGGAAAAGCAAAGCAAAC